rnacentral:lncRNA from 8 species
AAUAGCUCUCUGUUAAGUGUUGUCGUUCUGGUAACACCCCUAACCCUGAGUGUUGUUGGUCUGGUAACGCCCCUAACCCUGGGUGUGUUUGGUCUGGUAACGCCCCAAACCCUGGGUGUGUUUGGUCUGGUAACGUCCCAAACCCUGGGUGUGUUUGGUCUGGUAACGCCCCUAACCCUGGGUGUGUUUGGUCUGGUAACGCCCCUAACCCUGGGUGUGUUUGGUCUGGUAACGCCCCUAACCCUGGGUGUUGUUGGUCUGGUAACGCCCCUAACCCUGGGUGUGUUUGGUCUGGUAACGCCCCUAACCCUGGGUGUUGUUGGUCUGGUAACGCCCCUAACCCUGGGUGUGUUUGGUCUGGUAACGCCCCUAACCCUCGGUGUUGUUGGUCUGGUAACGCCCCUAACCCUGGGUGAUGUCGUUCUGGUCACGCCCCUAACCCUGGGUGUGUUUGGUCUGGUAACGCCCCUAACCCUGGGUGUGUUUGGUCUGGUAACGCCCCUAACCCUGGGUGUGUUUGGUCUGGAAACGCCCCUAACCCUGGGUGUGUUUGGUUUGGUAACGCCCCUAACCCUGGGUGUUGUCAGUCUGGUAACGCCCCUAACCCUGGGUGUGUUUGGUCUGGUAACGCCCCUAACCCUGGGUGUUGUCGUUCUGGUAACGCCCCUUACCCUGGGUGUGUUUGGUCUGGUAACGCCCCUAACCCUGGGUGUUGUUGGUCUUGUAACGCCCCUAACCCUCGGUGUUGUUGGUCUGGUAACGCCCCUAACCCUGGGUGUUGUUGGUCUGGUAACGCCCCUAACCGUGGGUGUGUUUGGUCUGGUAACGCCCCUAACCCUGGGUGUGUUUGGUCUGGUAACGCCCCUAACCCUGGGUGUUGUUGGUCUGGUAACGCCCCUAACCCUGGGUGUGUUUGGUCUGGUAACGCCCCUAACCCUGGGUGUUGUCGUUCUGGUAACGCCCCUAACCCUGGGUGUGUUUGGUUUGGUAACGCCCCUAACUCUGGGUGUUGUCGUUCUGGUAACACCCCUAACCCUGGGUGUUGUCGUUCUGGUAACGCCCCUAACCCUGGGUGUUGUCGUUCUGGUAACGCCCCUAACCCUGGGUGUUGUUGUUCUGGUAACGCCCCUAACCCUGGGUGUGUUUGGUCUGGUAACGCCCCUAACUCUGGGUGUUGUCGUUCUGGUAACGCCCCUAACCCUGGGUGUUGUCGUUCUGGUAACGCCCCUAACCCUGGGUGUUGUCGUUCUGGUAAUGCCCCUAACCCUGGGUGUGUUUGGUCUGGUAACGCCCCUAACCCUGGGUGUUGUUGGUCUGGUAACGCCCCUAAACCUGGGUGUUGUUGGUCCGGUAACGCCCCUAACCCUGGGUGUUGUUGGUCUGGUAACGCCCCUAACCCUGGGUGUGUUUGGUCUGGUAACGCCCCUAACCCUGGGUGUUGUCGUUCUGGUAACGCCCCUAACCCUGGGUGUGUUUGGUUUGGUAACGCCCCUAACUCUGGGUGUUGUCGUUCUGGUAACACCCCUAACCCUGGGUGUUGUCGUUCUGGUAACGCCCCUAACCCUGGGUGUUGUUGUUCUGGUAACGCCCCUAACCCUGGGUGUGUUUGGUCUGGUAACGCCCCUAACCCUGGGUGUUGUCGUUCUGGUAACGCCCCUAACCCUGGGUGUGUUUGGUUUGGUAACGCCCCUAACUCUGGGUGUUGUCGUUCUGGUAACACCCCUAACCCUGGGUGUUGUCGUUCUGGUAACGCCCCUAACCCUGGGUGUUGUUGUUCUGGUAACGCCCCUAACCCUGGGUGUGUUUGGUCUGGUAACGCCCCUAAUUCUGGGUGUUGUCGUUCUGGUAACGCCCCUAACCCUGGGUGUUGUUGUUCUGGUAACGCCCCUAACCCUGGGUGUGUUUGGUCUGGUAAUGCCCCUAACUCUGGGUGUUGUCGUUCUGGUAACGCCCCUAACCCUGGGUGUUGUCCUUCUGGUAACGCCCCUAACCCUGGGUGUUGUCGUUCUGGUAAUGCCCCUAACCCUGGGUGUUGUUGGUUUGGUAACACCUGGUAACGCCCCUAACCCUGCGUGUGUUUGGUCUGGUAACACCUGGUAA